AGUGAACGCUGGCGGUAGGCCUAACACAUGCAAGUCGAGCGGCAGCACAGGAGAGCUUGCUCUCUGGGUGGCGAGUGGCGGACGGGUGAGGAAUACAUCGGAAUCUACUCUGUCGUGGGGGAUAACGUAGGGAAACUUACGCUAAUACCGCAUACGACCUACGGGUGAAAGCAGGGAACCUUCGGGCCUUGCGCGAAUGAAUGAGCCGAUGUCGGAUUAGCUAGUUGGCGGGGUAAAGGCCCACCAAGGCGACGAUCCGUAGCUGGUCUGAGAGGAUGAUCAGCCACACUGGAACUGAGACACGGUCCAGACUCCUACGGGAGGCAGCAGUGGGGAAUAUUGGACAAUGGGCGCAAGCCUGAUCCAGCCAUACCGCGUGGGUGAAGAAGGCCUUCGGGUUGUAAAGCCCUUUUGUUGGGAAAGAAAUCCAGCUGGCUAAUACCCGGUUGGGAUGACGGUACCCAAAGAAUAAGCACCAGCUAACUUCGUGCCAGCAGCCGCGGUAA
rnacentral:rRNA from 1 species